UAACAGGGAGCUUGCUCCGCUGACGACCGGCGCACGGGUGCGCAACGCGUAUGCAAUCUACCUCUUACUAAGGGAUAGCCCAGAGAAAUUUGGAUUAAUAUCUUAUGUGAUAUUAGACUGGCAUCGGUUUAAUAUUAAAGGUUACGGUAAGAGAUGAGCAUGCGUCUCAUUAGUUAGUUGGUAAGGUAACGGCUUACCAAGACUUCGAUGAGUAGGGGUCCUGAGAGGGAGAUCCCCCACACUGGUACUGAGACACGGACCAGACUCCUACGGGAGGCAGCAGUGAGGAAUAUUGGACAAUGGACGGAAGUCUGAUCCAGCCAUGCCGCGUGUAGGAAGACUGCCCUAUGGGUUGUAAACUACUUUUAUACAGGAAGAAUAAGAUCUACGUGUAGAUUGAUGACGGUACUGUAAGAAUAAGGACCGGCUAACUCCGUGCCAGCAGCCGCGGUAAUACGGAGGGUCCGAGCGUUAUCCGGAAUUAUUGGGUUUAAAGGGUCCGUAGGCGGGCUGUUAAGUCAGAGGUGAAAUGCUGCGGCUCAACCGUAUGCACUGCCUUUGAUACUGGCGGUCUUGAGUUAUAGUGAAGUGGCUAGAAUAAGUAGUGUAGCGGUGAAAUGCAUAGAUAUUACUUAGAAUACCGAUUGCGAAGGCAGGUCACUAACUAUACACUGACGCUGAUGGACGAAAGCGUGGGUAGCGAACAGGAUUAGAUACCCUGGUAGUCCACGCCGUAAACGAUGGAUACUAGCUGUUCGGUUUUCGGACUGAGCGGCCAAGCGAAAGUGAUAAGUAUCCCACCUGGGGAGUACGUUCGCAAGAAUGAAACUCAAAGGAAUUGACGGGGGCCCGCACAAGCGGUGGAGCAUGUGGUUUAAUUCGAUGAUACGCGAGGAACCUUACCAGGGCUUAAAUGUAGAUUGACAGGUUUAGAGAUAGACUUUUCUUCGGACAAUUUACAA
rnacentral:rRNA from 1 species